UAAGCUUUAAGUUAUGUAAACUAAGAGCCUUCAAAGCUCUCAAAGAACUUUGUUCAAGCUUUG
rnacentral:tRNA from 1 species